UACGUAGGGUGCAAGCGUUAAUCGGAAUUACUGGGCGUAAAGCGUGCGCAGGCGGCUAUGCAAGACAGAUGUGAAAUCCCCGGGCUCAACCUGGGAACUGCAUUUGUGACUGCAUGGCUAGAGUACGGCAGAGGGGGAUGGAAUUCCGCGUGUAGCAGUGAAAUGCGUAGAUAUGCGGAGGAACACCGAUGGCGAAGGCAAUCCCCUGGGCCUGUACUGACGCUCAUGCACGAAAGCGUGGGUAGCAAACAGG
rnacentral:rRNA from 1 species